rnacentral:rRNA from 1 species
CUAGUGACCGAUAGUGAACCAGUACCGUGAGGGAAAGGUGAAAAGCACCCCGGGAGGGGAGUGAAAUAGAACCUGAAACCGUGUGCCUACAACAAGUUCGAGCCCGUUAAUGGGUGAGAGCGUGCCUUUUGUAGAAUGAACCGGCGAGUUACGAUAUGAUGCGAGGUUAAGUUGAAGAGACGGAGCCGUAGGGAAACCGAGUCUUAAUAGGGCGCAUUAGUAUCAUGUCGUAGACCCGAAACCAUGUGACCUACCCAUGAGCAGGGUGAAGGUGAGGUAAAACUCACUGGAGGCCCGAACCAGGGCACGUUGAAAAGUGCUUGGAUGACUUGUGGGUAGCGGAGAAAUUCCAAACGAACUUGGAGAUAGCUGGUUCUCUCCGAAAUAGCUUUAGGGCUAGCGUCGAUGUUAAGUCUCUUGGAGGUAGAGCACUGUUUGAUUGAGGGGUCCAUCCCGGAUUACCAAUAUCAGAUAAACUCCGAAUGCCAAUGAGAUAUAAUCGGCAGUCAGACUGCGAGUGCUAAGAUCCGUAGUCGAAAGGGAAACAGCCCAGACCACCAGCUAAGGUCCCAAAAUAUAUGUUAAGUGGAAAAGGAUGUGGGGUUGCACAGACAACUAGGAUGUUAGCUUAGAAGCAGCUAUUCAUUCAAAGAGUGCGUAAUAGCUCACUAGUCGAGUGACCCUGCGCCGAAAAUGUACCGGGGCUAAAACAUAUUACCGAAGCUGUGGAUACCUUUAUAGGUAUGGUAGGAGAGCGUUCUAUGUGUGAAGAAGGUGUACCGUGAGGAGCGCUGGAACGCAUAGAAGUGAGAAUGCCGGUAUGAGUAGCGAAAGACAGGUGAGAAUCCUGUCCACCGUAUGACUAAGGUUUCCAGGGGAAGGCUCGUCCUCCCUGGGUUAGUCGGGACCUAAGGAGAGACCGAAAGGUGUAUCCGAUGGACAACAGGUUGAUAUUCCUGUACUAGAGUAUAUAGUGAUGGAGGGACGCAGUAGGCUAACUAAAGCGUGCGAUUGGAAGUGCACGUCUAAGCAGUGAGGUGUGAUAUGAGUCAAAUGCUUAUAUCUUUAACAUUGAGCUGUGAUGGGGAGCGAAGUUAAGUAGCGAAGUUAGUGAUGUCACACUGCCAAGAAAAGCUUCUAGCGUUAAUUAUACUCUACCCGUACCGCAAACCGACACAGGUAGUCGAGGCGAGUAGCCUCAGGUGAGCGAGAGAACUCUCGUUAAGGAACUCGGCAAAAUGGCCCCGUAACUUCGGGAGAAGGGGCGCUGGCUUUAAGUCAGCCGCAGUGAAUAGGCCCAAGCAACUGUUUAUCAAAAACACAGCUCUCUGCUAAAUCGUAAGAUGAUGUAUAGGGGGUGACGCCUGCCCGGUGCUGGAAGGUUAAGAGGAGCGCUUAGCAUUAGCGAAGGUGUGAAUUGAAGCCCCAGUAAACGGCGGCCGUAACUAUAACGGUCCUAAGGUAGCGAAAUUCCUUGUCGGG